UCUGUUAUAUUUCCUUCAUCGUCUUCCUCCUGAAUUAGGGUUUUGAUGCUGUUAACGAAGCUUCCAAAGGCGGUGGAGUUUCUGGCUUUUUGAAGUCCAUGGUCCUAUUUGUGUUAUUCCACAGCUUUCUUGAACUGCAUCGAUUACUGAUUAUAGAUUUGAGAGUUUAAUUUCCACUCACUGAGUUUGUUGCGGUUCAAGAAAGCUGUGGGAAGAUACAGAUGGGGUCAAAUCAUCAAUCAAGUUUCAGGAUAUAGGGUUUCACUGCGAGGCUUGGUUUAUUCGUUGAAGGAAAAACUUGAGAUCUCAUAGGGGAUCGUCAACAUAGUGGAUCGUCAAAAAGGG